GUUAGAGAAGCCCUGCGUCACUUUCGAUAUUUUACGUGCUGUAACUGUCUUUACGGACCUCAAGCCACUCAUCAUCACCCUCAAGGCUAAAAAUCCUACGUGGUGCAACAAAGGGCAUCGAUAUUUUGCGGAAGUGUCCGAACUCAACAAUAUCCUAUUCGACGUGGUGGAUUGAGAAGAAUUUUUGUCACUUCAAGGGAGAGAAGGUGUGACAUUAGAUGAAAACCGUCAAGAUUGUGAUGUGAAUGGAUUCCAUGUAAUUUGUGACAUCUGUAAUCCAGUCCCUCGUCCAGUUGUACCAACGUCGUUGGUAACUAAAAUUAUUACUUGAAAAUAGAUUCCUGCUAUUUUUGGGAGAAUUUAAAAGAAGAUGUAAGAAAGUUCGUCUAUGAUAGUAAUACUUGUGCCAAGACGAAAAUCACAACCCACGUCAACAAAAAGACGUCAGUAAUUGAUGCGUCGAACAAGAAAUUCUACCAUAUCCAAGUAGAUUUAGUUGGCCCCUUCACUCAAGUAAAUUGAAUGAGAUAUCUGCUUACUAUAAUUGACAGAAGGACUAGAUGGCUAGAAGGAGUGUCUCUUUCAAAUAGUACUGCUCUAGUGAUUGCGGAUGCAUUUCAAGUAGCGUGCCCGAUUUGGUGUCCCGUCUAUAAUGACCUCAGACUUGGGAAGACAAUUUAUCUCUGAAGUAUGGAGGUACAUGUAUAGUCAUUUGGGAAUAAAAAAUAAAUGUACCACAACAUAUCAUCCGCAAUCCAAUGGUUUGGUGGAAAGAGCAAACAGGUAGUUGAAGCAGGCUUUGAGGGCUCGUCUUUCGGAGAACGAGGAAAAUUGGAUAAAGGCACUGAACAGGAUCUUAUAACUACUCUUCGUACAGAUUCCGGCGUUUCUCCUGCUCAAGAAGUUUAUGGCGAAGAAACUCGUUUUCAUUCUCUUCCUGAUGUGUUCGAAAGGGAGAAAACAUCGAAUAAUAAUUUCAGAUACAGCAUAGAAAAAAAGAUUCUAGCUUAUCUUGAGGCAUAACUUCAACUUUCUUUUCUUUCAAUCUCUAAUAUUAUUCUUUAACUCUCAAAUUUUUUAUGUUAUCUCAUAAGAAGUAGAAUUGGAAAAAGUAAUUCAAAUUUGUAUAAAUAAGCGAAAAUUUGAGCUAUUUUAUCGAUCGUUAUUCAGAACAAUGAGCGCUCUCCCGUUCAAAAAUUUUGAGUGCCACUCACUAAUAAUUUUUAUAUAUUAUAAAAAACAUUAAAAAAAUUAAUUACAUACAUUAGAAAGUCUCAUGGGAUAGAUGGACGGCGUGGGUCUAAUUUGAUAUUGUCUAUUUAACAUAGUUAAUAAUUCUUUUUUUGAACCUUUAACAAUCCAACACAGAUAUAUUCCAUUUUUACCUAAUCACACUCAAUUAUUGAAUAUAUACUUAGUUAUGCAAAUGGAGGAAUAUAUCAUAUUUUUAUUUAUUUUAUAAGAUCAAUCUGUUAAUAAAAGUGAUAAUGUGCUAAAAAAUCACCA
rnacentral:lncRNA from 1 species